UACAGAGGUCCCAAGCGUUGUUCGGAUUCACUGGGCGUAAAGGGUGCGUAGGCGGUCGGGUAAGUCUGGUGUGAAAUUCCGGGGCUCAACUCCGGAACGGCAUUGGAUACUAUUCGGCUCGAGCGUUGGAGGGGGGACUGGAAUUCUCGGUGUAGCAGUGAAAUGCGUAGAUAUCGAGAGGAACACCAGUGGCGAAGGCGAGUCCCUAGACAACUGCUGACGCUGAGGCACGAAAGCCAGGGGAG
rnacentral:rRNA from 1 species